rnacentral:rRNA from 1 species
UACGGGGGGAGCGAACGUUACUCGGAAUCACUGGGCAUAAAGGGCGCGUAGGCGGUCCUGUAAGUCGGAUGUGAAAGACCUUGGCUCAACCAAGGAACGGCAUCCGAUACUGCGGGGCUUGAGGCCGAGAGGGGCAAGCGGAACUCCUGGUGGAGCGGUGAAAUGCGUAGAUAUCAGGAGGAACACCGGUGGCGAAGGCGGCUUGCUGGAUCGGUUCUGACGCUGAGGCGCGAAAGCCAGGGGAGCAAACGGG